CGCAAUUUAAUUAUGUUACUUGCUGCUACGGAGCCCUUCAUGGGCGAGUCCGACUCGCACUUGGCCGCUUUUAUUAACACUUGGCGCGCAGAGCAACUUCUGCUGCUGACUAUGUUAUGGGUAAGGUCGCCAAAAUUAUUGUCUACUGCUAAUUUUAUGGAACUGUAAGACGAUACGUAUUUUAGAUUUGUGUUGUGUUUGUGUGAGUUUAUAUCAAUAUACUCAAAAAUAUCUACCCAAAUAAAAGCCAACCUACUGAAAUAAAGUUUAAUUCACAUUAGUUUUGUGUUAUGGUUCCAUUACAGGCCAUAGAAUUAGCAAACAUUACUUAAGGUGGUAUUCCAUCUGGCCAAUAUCUUAAUCCAAUGUCAUUACGUCACACUCUUUCAUUAAGCAAAAUGUGAGACAAAAUACACAUUGGACAAAGAAAUUGGACAGGUGGAAUACCACCCUUAAGGCUCCGACACAGGCGCGUUUGGCGGGCGUCGCGUGAGCGGGGCGCGCCGCUUUUACAUAUAAAACGCUCACGCUUCGCCCGGAAAUCGCGCCUGUGUGACGGAACCUUUAGAAGUAUCAUCAAUUCCGUCAGAUAAAGUAAAUUGUGUUAAACUAUAAUAUUAAUUUGUAUGAGAUUACCGCGUCUUGGUAUAAAUCGUGUACUCAGUGCCGGAUUUACCACUAGGCUGAGUAGGCUGAAGCCUAGGGCGGCAGAUUUUAGGGGCGGCAAAUUUGGGUCAAAAAAAUAUUUAGGGUAGACCAGAAUUUAUUUGUAAUAUUUAAAUAACAAGCAUAAUUUGUCGAUUUUGCCGCCCUCUGAUGUCAUGUCAAGAAUCAUUUCCUAUCAAUCAUUUUCUCGAAAAAAAUUCGCGCUCGCUACGCUCGCGUUUUCGUUUAACUAACUACGUUUUAUUGUGACCCAUCUGACCAUAUCAUUGAAUGAUAGCACAGAACCUAGUAGAACGCCAGCGGUAAUGUCCACGGUAUCGCAGCAGCUUCCGUCUACUAUACGGCUCAUAUGCGUCUACCGGAUAAAAAGCUAGUGAUCCAUUUGUAUAAUUUCUCGAGCAGACACAAUGCCAGACCCGACCGAACUCCUUAGCUAUGUCCAGCCUGACUGCCAAUGCCUCACCUUGAUUCUCAAUAGCCAAAACCCAGCGGUACCCACCGGUCGCCGAUCAGAUCAGGCAAAUAUAAAGAGUGUAUCUAGAAUGUGACAGUGACGUCACCUUAUAUGCAUUUUACACACCAUAUCCAUAUGGCUAUGGUGUGUUGUACUAUGAAAUUAAACGCCUCUGACAGAAAAGUAUUUUAAAAAACCUAUAAGCAAGGCGGAUAGGGGCGGCAAAAUCGGCAUAGCCUACGGGCGGCAAAUGUCUAAAUCCGGCACUGCGUGUACUUAUACUUUUAUGAAAUUUCGCGGCUCCAUACAGAAACUGGCUCUGUGUCGAUCUGGGGGGCGAUUUUUGAAUUUCGAGUGCUCGAUCUCUCGUCACUCGGAAACGGCGAAAUGCUGAUUUUUCAAAUACGAGCGAUAGAAAUUGCAAAUCUAGGGGUAAUGAAUAACCAAUUCUAUUGGACUCUGUUGUUGACCGUACAUAGUUUGUAUUGGUUCCCAUACAUUCCACGACACUUCUCUUUCCGCACAGACUAGUAGAAUUAAAUACCUAGUAGUGGAGAUAUUAUUAAAGGGAGAACACGAAAUCGAGUGAUCAAAAUUCAAAAAUCGGUUCCCUGCAUUUUUGAAGAACGACGAGAAUUAACGAGAUAAUACGGUUCCCUUUAUUAUGAUAUUUUGACGAAAAAAAAAUAGUUAAUCAGACUUUUUUUGUUUCAAACUAUCAUGUUACCUACUCUAUCUAACUUCUUUGUUCGACCUGUCUCUAACUUCUUUGUCCAAUGUGUAUUUUGUCUCACAUUUUGCUUAACCUUUUGGACGCCAAUGACCGAUAUAUCCGUAGGUCCAACGCCAAAGACGGAUUAAUCGGUCACAGACCACAGAGCAACAUAGACCUACGUGCAUAUGCAUAAAGUUCAAUUUCAGUUUUGACACUUCGGCGACGUGGCGUCCGAGUGACAGCUUUUGUGUUUGACACGGCGUCGAAAGGGUUAAUGAGGGAGUGAGACGCAAUGACAUUGGACCAAGAUAUUGGACUGAUGGAACACCAUCUUAAAGCAGGCCACUGACGAGCCUUCCAAAUGGAUGCCGUUACAAUGGAUUCAUCCAAAUGGACGGCAUCCUAAUAUUAAACAUUGUACGUUUUUGACAUUCACGGACAGAUUUUGGAUUGCAGCCACACUAUUUGGACUGUUGGAAGGCUCGUUAGUGGCCACCCGGGUCCAUAUUGGGUCGCAUAAUAAUUGAUUGUCCUAAUGUAAUGUUACGCAUAAAACUCAUUUCGCAUAAUUAUUAUUGUGCUCGAAAUAUUAACAUUUCUGAAAAUUAUAACACAAACCUAACCUAACCUACCCUAUUCUACACAACCUAUGCAAAAUAUUUUCUAAAAUACUUUCUGUUUCAGCUGGUGAAAAAAUAUGCGAAAUGAGAUUUAUGCGUAACAUUACAUUAUGACAAUCAAUUAUUAUGCGAUGAGAUAGGAUCCCUGGCCACCCUAAUAGGGAAUACAAAUUGGUUAUUUUUUGUAUGGUAAUAACCGCGGUUUCGGUUAAUAACCGAUUAUUUCCAUACAAAAAAUAAGCGAAAAUAACCGAUUUUCAUUCCCUACCUACACCCUAAGUCUAGAUAUCGCUUUGUUCACUUGUUAGUGUUAAUUUUAAUCCUACUCAAUAAUUUCGGCGGCCUUAUUCAGCACCAAGCCAUUUUACUUAAUCAUGCCUCUGAUACUUCCAGUUUUAUAUGUAUUUCAUAAUUAAUGUACUCUUAAAGAUUGUCCUGUAAAACAGACUGCCAAUAAACACGUGUCACCUUUA